CAUGCACCAGUGGGGUCCCUCAGCCUGGCCUGUGCACUCUUGCAAUCCAGAACCCCUCAGGGAAUGUUGGAGAGCCAGUUUCAGCCUGAUCCUGCAGGCCAGGCUGAGGGACCCCACUGGUGCACA
rfam:Myotis brandtii contig267880, whole genome shotgun sequence.